UUACAUAAAGUAGACUAUACAGGUUACAUCAAGUAGACUAUAGAGGUUACAUAAAGUAGACUAUACAGGUUACAUAAAGUAGACUAUACAGGUUACAUAAAGUAGACUAUACAGGUUACAUAAAGUAGACUAUAGAGGUUACAUAAAGUAGACUAUACAGGUUACAUAAAGUAGACUAUACAGGUUACAUAAAGUAGACUAUACAGGUUACAUAAAGUAGACUAUACAGGUUACAUAAAGUAGACUAUACAGGUUACAUAAAGUAGACUAUACAGGUUACAUAAAGUAGACUAUAGAGGUUACAUAAAGUAGACUAUACAGGUUACAUAAAGUAGACUAUACAGGUUACAUAAAGUAGACUAUACAGGUUACAUAAAGUAGACUAUACAGGUUACAUAAAGUAGACUAUAGAGGUUACAUAAAGUAGACUAUACAGGUUACAUAAAGUAGACUAUAGAGGUUACAUAAAGUAGACUAUACAGGUUACAUAAAGUAGACUAUACAGGUUACAUAAAGUAGACUAUACAGGUUACAUAAAGUAGACUAUACAGGUUACAUAAAGUAGACUAUACAGGUUACAUAAAGUAGACUAUACAGGUUACAUCAAGUAGACUAUAGAGGUUACAUAAAGUAGACUAUACAGGUUACAUAAAGUAGACUAUACAGGUUACAUAAAGUAGACUAUACAGGUUACAUCAAGUAGACUAUAGAGGUUACAUAAAGUAGACUAUACAGGUUACAUAAAGUAGACUAUAUAGGUUACAUAAAGUAGACUAUACAGGUUACAUAAAGUAGACUAUACAGGUUACAUAAAGUAGACUAUACAGGUUACAUAAAGUAGACUAUAGAGGUUACAUAAAGUAGACUAUACAGGUUACAUAAAGUAGACUAUACAGGUUACAUAAAGUAGACUAUAGAGGUUACAUAAAGUAGACUAUACAGGUUACAUAAAGUAGACUAUACAGGUUACAUAAAGUAGACUAUACAGGUUACAUAAAGUAGACUAUACAGGUUACAUAAAGUAGACUAUACAGGCUACAUAAAGUAGACUAUACAGGCUACAUAAAGUAGACUAUACAGGCUACAUAAAGUAGACUAUACAUGCUACAUAAAGUAGACUAUACAGGUUACAUAAAGUAGACUAUACAGGCUACAUAAAGUAGACUAUACAGGCUACAUAAAGUAGACUAUACAGGUUACAUAAAGUAGACUAUACAGGUUACAUAAAGUAGACUAUACAGGUUACAUAAAGUAGACUAUACAGGUUACAUAAAGUAGACUAUACAGGUUACAUAAAGUAGACUAUACAGGUUACAUAAA